rnacentral:rRNA from 1 species
GCCGCGUGGGUGAAGAAGGCCUGCGGGUUGUAAAGCCCUUUCGGUUGGGAAGAAAAGUGUUGACCUAACACGUCAGUACCUUGACGUAACCAACAAAAGAAGCACCGGCUAACUCUGUGCCAGCAGCCGCGGUAAUACAGAGGGUGCAAGCGUUAAUCGGAAUUACUGGGCGUAAAGCGCACGUAGGCGGCUUGAUAAGUCGAGUGUGAAAUUCCCGGGCUUAACCUGGGACCUGCAUUCGAAACUGUCUUGCUAGAGUAUGGGAGAGGGAAGUGGAAUUUCAGGUGUAGCGGUGAAAUGCGUAGAUAUCUGAAGGAACAUCAGUGGCGAAAGCGACUUCCUGGACCAAUACUGACGCUCAGGUGCGAAAGCGUGGGGAGCAAACAGGAUUAGAUACCCUGGUAGUCCACGCCAUAAACGAUGAGAACUAGAUGUUGGGAGGAUUAGCCUCUCGGUGUCGUAGCUAACGCGUUAAGUUCUCCGCCUGGGGAGUACGGGCGCAAAGUUGAAACUCGAAGGAAUUGACGGGGACCCGCACCAGCGGUGGAGCCUGUGGUUUAA